GUAGAGGAGAGAGAGCAGGAGGGCGGAGAGGGGGAAAGCAGGAAAAGUGCAUCUCGGACUCGUCGCGAGGGUUCUCUUGCUGGAGAGCUCGCUGGAUAGAGGAGGGAGGGGAGAAGAAAAUUAGAGCGAGAAAUUUUGAAUUUCUCCAACUCCUAGGGUGAGAAUCAGGGUUUCUUCGCUCAUCUCCUUCUUGGUGAAUCUAGCGUUCGGUCUUCUCUUUCUCCUUUUCCAGUUCUCCUUGCUUCCUUGUUCUUCGUUGAUGAGUGCAAUCGAUUGAUUGUUAUAUGUUGGGGUUGGGGGGAGCUUGAUAGAUUGAGAGGAAUGGACGAGGCCUGGGAGAGAGCCGUGGAGGCGGCCCUCGAAGGACAGGCGGACUUGUCCUUGGCGCCGCGAACCCUAACCCUAGAUGGGGCGGUGAAGUGCCUCCAGGGGCGGCUCCCUCCGCCGGGGCUGCUGGAGAGGUACCAGAGCCUGGAGCACCUCUCGAUCGCCAGCAUCGGGGUCUCGUCGUUGGAGAAGUUCCCGCGACUCCGGAACCUACAGCGGCUUAUCCUCUCCGACAACCGGAUCGCCGGCGGGCUCGAGUUCCUGGUGGAGGCCGGGCUCGAUUCGCUUCGGGAUCUCGAUCUCUCCAACAAUCGGAUACAGUUCCUCGAGGAUCUCGCGCCUCUCGCCCAGCUCCGUCUCGUGUCGCUGGAUCUCUAUGAGUGCCCCGUCACCAGGGUCAAGGACUACCGAUCCAGGGUGUUCGGGAUGAUCCGGACGUUGAAGUAUCUUGACAAGAUGGAUGCUGAUGAGAACGAGCGGCCGGAGUCGGACGAGGAGGAGGAGGAUGAGGAAGAUGACGAAGAGGAGGAGGAGGAUCCGGGGAGCGUUGAGGUUGAUGGCGGGGAUCGGGUUGGGAGGUCGGUGGAUGGCGUUGGAGGAAGUGGUAGAGGGGUUGCGAUUGUCGAUGUGGAUGAGGACGGUGAGAGUGAUGCUGAUGAGGAGGAGACAGAGAGUGGUAGGAGGGUGGAAGCCAAUGGACUGGGGCGGGGGUCUCAUCACCACCUAUCAAAUGGGUUCCGGGUGGAGCCGGUCGGAGCAGCUUCCACUGAUAUGGAGGACGAGGAGGAGGAGGAAGAGGAGGAUGUGGAGGAUGACGAUGAGGAGGAAGAGGAUUUGGUGGAGGAGAUUGAUGAGGAGGAAGGGGAAGAUGAUGAUGUGGUUGAGGUGCAUGAUGUCGGGGACAGUGAUGAUGAUGCUGACGGGGUCGAGGAGGUUGGGGAGGAUGAGAUAGAUGAAGAGGGGGAUGAUGAGGAGGAUGGGGAUGGGGAUGAAGAUGAGGAGGAUGUGGAGGAUGAAGAGGAUGAUGGUGACCCGGGCAGCACGGGGAGGUUGACGAGCACGGAAGGGGAGAUUGAUGCGCAUGAGCAGGGGGAGGAGGAUGGGAACGGGGAGAUUGGUGAGGAGGAUGAGCAGGGAGUGGAGGAGGAUAGGGAGUAUGAGGAGGGUGAUGGUGAGGAUGAAGAUGAGGAAGAGGAUCUCGGAACAGAAUAUCUAGUGCAGCCGAUUGCUCAACCUGUGGAUGAGAUUGGAGGAAGUGAUUUUGAUGCUUGCAACGAAGAAGAUGAAGAUGAGGUUGAUGAUGAUGAAGUUGAUAAUGAGGACAAUCACAGCAAUGGUGUCCUGCCACACCCUCCUCCGUCUUCUCAACCCAACAAGAGAAAGAGAGAUGAAGAAGAUGAUGACUGUGUUGAGGAGUUGAGGUCUUCAAAGCAUCACUGAUGAUGAUUCAGCAGCAGUGUACAUGGAUGCUAGUAGAAGAAACAAGGGGUCUCGCGGCGCAUACGGACGGGGGAGUUGCACAUGUAUUGCAGGAAAUUUGAUGCGUUGAUGAGGGCUGAUCAUCAUUCCUGAUCUUUAAUCGGACGGUCGGAGCUCACGAGAAACGAAUGGUUUCUCGACACCAACGGGAACGAAGGCGAGAGCCGAAGACAGCCCCGGGCUCCCUAUCGUAAAUGGCGUCGUCUCUCAGAAUGCUGCGGUCACGUGCAAGGCGAAGGACGCGGGGAUUGGCGGCGGUGGCGGGCCUUCUGGUGAACCCGGUGAUCGGCCUGUCGAUGUACGCGCUCAAGACGACCGGUUGCGUCCUCCUGCCGGGGCCUGGGGCGUCGAUCGGAGCGGCGGAGGCGGUGAGCUACCUGGUGGCGGCCAGCGUACGUCAUGGGCUGGUCUGUCUACAGUAAAGUGCGAAUUGUUCGGGGCCGUCGAGGGCCUCCUCGUCCCACUCCCUGGCAACCAGCGCUUUGGUUGAGGCGAUGAGUUUCCGCCCUUUGUCCCUUGGAUCUACGUCGCUAAUCUGUUUCUUUGCUUCUUUUCUUUAUUUGUCUCUCUGGUUCUCUCUCUCUGCUUCAUUAAAGGGAAGGUAUACUGCAUCAAUUGCAAACAUUAAGAUGUUGGUUUGGCCUUCCGAGCCGAGUAAUCAGAGCGACAGCCAUUAUUAGUUGAUUAGGUUGAUGAGUUCUGCAUUGCUUGACUUGCUAACAAUGUCCACUUUUCAAUAUAUGUACAUUUAUGUAUGUAUGUAUGUAUUCAAUUUCUAUGUAUGUGUGUAUGUAUUAAACAAAAAGAUAUCACAAAUCUGGUCA